CCUACGGGUGGCAGCAGUGGGGAAUAUUGCACAAUGGGGGGAACCCUGAUGCAGCGACGCCGCGUGAGUGAAGAAGUAUUUCGGUAUGUAAAGCUCUAUCAGCAGGGAAGAAAAUGACGGUACCUGACUAAGAAGCCCCGGCUAACUCCGUGCCAGCAGCCGCGGUAAUACGUAGGGGGCAAGCGUUAUCCGGAUUUACUGGGUGUAAAGGGAGCGCAGACGGCUGUGCAAGUCUGGAGUGAAAGGCGGGGGCCCAACCCCCGGACUGCUCUGGAAACUGUAAAGCUGGAGUGCAGGAGAGGUAAGCGGAAUUCCUAGUGUAGCGGUGAAAUGCGGAGAUAUUAGGAGGAACACCAGUGGCGAAGGCGGCUUACUGGACUGCAACUGACGUUGAGGCUCGAAAGCGUGGGGAGCAAACAGGAUUAGAUACCCCGGUAGUC
rnacentral:rRNA from 1 species